AGAUCUACAGCCACCUGACGGCUGUUCCUGGACCUGUGGCUGGGGGACAGCUGGGAAAGAGGAGUGGGGAGACAGAGAGCUAGAGUUGACACAUUCACUCUUGAACGGAGGGACGGCACGCAUACCUACUGUACCCUCUCAUGCUGAAGCCUUUUUGUUCUACAAGUCGUUACCACUAUCUGGACUGGAGCUUUAACACUACUGCUGUUUUCACCUUUCGGGGAACUGAGAACGACAGACAGACACCUUUUUGCUCACCUCUCCUUCAUUACAGGAGUAAAAGAGUGAGGCAGAUUUGCGUUAGGCAGGGGGGUGUAAUUUAUAGGUCUAGGAGGAGUGGUGUGUGUGUUUAGGUCGAAGGUAGAAUUACCUCAUUCUAGGGAAGCUCUGAGUGAUUGAGAUCAGACAGAGGGCUUCCAGCCGCUAACCCUAACUCUUAUCUGAGCUUCUUCUCUGUUCUGGGUCAGCCUCCUGUCCCCUCCUGCUCUGAACAGGCUCAGAGAGAGAGAAUCCUGUGAGAGAAAGAGAAUCUCUGCCAGAGAAUCACUGCGAGAGAGAGAAUCCCUGCGAGAGAAUCCCUGCGGAGAGAAUCCCUGCGAGAGAAUCCCUGCGAGAGAAUCCCUGCGAGAGAAUCCCUGCGAGAGAAUCGCUGAGAGAGAAUCCCUGCGAGAGAGAGAAUCGCUGCGAGAGAAUCCCUGAGAGAGAAUCCCUGAGAGAGAGAGAAUCCAUGCAAGAGAGAGAGAAUCCCUGCAAGAGAGCAGAGAAUCCCUGCGAGAGAGAGAGAGAGAGAAGAGUAAGACGCGCUCACGCUCCCAGAGAGGUGGAGACUUUAUUCCCGUGCUCUUCCUCUCUUUCCUCUCUGUUUUCCUCCUCCUUAUCUCUCUCUGUGUGUCAGGGUGUGGCAGCAGCAUUAUGCCUGCAGUGUUCCUGUUCCUGCUCAGAACCCUCCUUUCCAGUAGAAUGAUAGGAUCCCUGCUCCAGUUCCUCAGGAGAACUUUGUCCUCAACCUUCAGCCACGUGGGAGCCGCGCUGAGAUACGUCUGGGACAGGAUCAGCUCUCAGGAGUCUAAAGAAGCCAUCCUGGGCUGUGUGCUGUGUCUCCUUAACAUGCACAAGAAGGUGGAUCAGCCAGCAGCUGAGUCUCACUGAGUCACUCUCUUGGCUUUUCUUCCUCUUCAGAAAGAACAAGAGAAAGGACGAGAGAGAGAACAAGAGAGAGGGAGAGAGAACAAGAGAGAGGGAGAGAGAACGAGAGAGAGGAAGAGAGAACGAGAACAAGAGAACAAGAGACAGAGAACAAGAGAGAGAGAACAAGAGAGACUUGGGAAGAGAGGAAGCUCUCUCUAUUGAGCUCUCUCCACUUUCCUUUCUGUUCAUUCAACCUCCACUUGUUUACUGCCGGAGGGAGAGAGAGAACAAGAGAGGAAGAGAGGGUUUCAGACUUUUCAUUUCGAGCUCAUUUGGACUGUAGUAUUUUUCUGACUGGAGUGCUCAGAGCAAAGCGCCCAGAUUCAGGUGAAUGAGACUGUAUCGGACCGCUGGGCUGGUGCUGACUACCUCAGAAAGCAUCGUCAGGGAGGUCCAACCUUUCACCAUCGGGACCAGGCUGUCUGUCUCUGGAUCUGCUACCAGGUCCAGACUUCCCCCAGAUGCUCUCCUGCCAGAGUGGGACUCUGGAUAAUAUCACCCUGCAGACCAACCUCCAUGACCAAGUCUCCCUCUACCUCAGCCAGGUGCAGGUAUGUGUGGUUGCUCCUCGUGUAGCGCCCCUGGCCUCGUACAUCAAGCCCCUAGCGCCCCUGGCCCCGUACAUCAAGCCCCUAGCGCCCCUGGCCCCGUACAUCAAGCCCCUAGCGCCCCUGGCCCCGUACAUCAACCCCCUAGCGCCCCUGGCCCCGUACAUCAAGCCCCUAGCGCCCCUGGCCCCGUAC
rnacentral:lncRNA from 1 species